rnacentral:rRNA from 1 species
UACGGAGGGGGCUAGCGUUGUUCGGAAUUACUGGGCGUAAAGCGCACGUAGGCGGCUUUGUAAGUUAGAGGUGAAAGCCUAGGGCUCAACCCUGGAAUUGCCUUUAAGACUGCAUCGCUAGAAUUGUGGAGAGGUAAGUGGAAUUCCGAGUGUAGAGGUGAAAUUCGUAGAUAUUCGGAAGAACACCAGUGGCGAAGGCGGCUUGCUAGCUUGUAACUGACGCUGAGGCGCGAAAGCUAGGGGAGCAAACAGG